CAAUAGCGUAUAUUAAAGUUGUUGCAGUUAAAAAGCUCGUAGUUGGAUUUCUGGCGUCGGCGGCCGGUCCGCGCCUUCUGGGCGUGUGUACUAGUGCGCCGGUGCCAUACUCGCGGGGAGCGUGUCUGAUGGGCAACUGUCGGGCUCGGGAACCGUGUCUUUUACUGUGAAAAAAUUAGAGUGUUUAAAGCAGGCUGAUGCCUUGAAUACAUUAGCAUGGAAUAAUAAGAUAGGACUUUGGCCUAUUUUGUUGGUUUGCAAGCCAAGGUAAUGAUUAAUAGGGAUAGUUGGGGGUAUUCAUAUUUAAUUGUCAGAGGUGAAAUUCUUGGAUUUAUGAAAGAUGAACUACUGCGAAAGCAUUUACCAAGGAUGUUUNCAUUAA
rnacentral:rRNA from 1 species